ACUCAGGAGGCUGAGGUAGGAGAAUGGCGUGAAGCCGGGAGGCUGAGCUUGCGGUGAGCCGAGAUGGCGCCACUGCACUUCAGCCUGGGCGACAGAGUGAGACUCCAUCUCAAAAUAAUAAUAAUAAUAAUAAUAAUAAUAAUAAUAAUAAUAAUAAUAAUUUCUUAAUAUCUUUUAAAGUACAAAGACCCUACUAAAGUUAGUUACUAAUAUUUGCAUUGUUAUUUAUUUUGUAGACCAAAAUAUUUUGUUCACCUUGAUUAGAUUAUUACUUCAUUGGAGCAUGAUGUUUGUCCAUCAUAUUAGCAAAUUCUUCUCAUAUAUAUAAGAAUAUUUCAAGAGUUAUUUAGGGUAUACUUAGACCCCACACUACCAGGAGCCAGAAAAAUAGCUAUGAAUUUACCACAUCCAUAGAUUGAUUCAUUGAUUAUUUUUUCAUUUAUCAACUGUUAAUUCAGUGUCAGACUCAGAGGAUAUUGCACUGAAUAGGACACAGUCCCUUCUUUCAUGGAACUCCACGUAAUAUUAUUUAUAAGUCAUAUUUACUUAAAACUAAUUUCUACUUCAAAUAUCAAUACAUGUGCCAUAAACAUUGCUUAGAGAAAGAACUCAUUGUAAAAUAUUUUUCAGUAAUACUGAUUUUCACCCAGGAACUUCUUUAUUUGACUUUAAAUCUCUGGCGCAAGUCCAUCUGUCUCUUAAUGCAAGAUACAGGUGGCGAAACAAUGUUGGUGUUCACAGUUAGAGCUCUCUAAUUCUACACAUUUUUUUUCUAAAACAUCCAAAAUAUUUUUCUGUGUGUAAAAAUAUAAAGAUUCAGUGAGAUGUUGCUAAAUACACUUUAAUGAGAUCUUCUCAAAUCCAUUUUGCUGCCACUAAUUUCAAGAUACUUAUUUUUUCAAUAAAGGAUUAUUUCCAUAGAUAGCACGAGAAAUCAUGAGAAAUUAAUGUCUUCAUGAUGAUAAACCAGAGCAUAGGAAAAUGAGAUAGUGAAUAAUGAAGUUAUAUCAUUAUAAUACAUAGUUUUAUGACAUGACCAAGAAUAUUCCUAUUAUUCUGAAAAUAUAUCAGUGUGCAUAUGCUGAUGGACUUACCACUACUUCAUUUACUUCAGUGAGUCCACACACAUGAGUAUUUUUUCAGUAUUAAAAAUAUACUGCUUGGAGGAAUUUACACACAAUGCAUAGAUUUCAUUUUAUGUCAUGGUUCUGAGGAAAACUGUUCUACCUUUUACACCAGAAUGAUAUAAUACCAGGACACAUAUAUUUUUGCACACAAUUUCAAGGGGCUCAUAGACUCUCUAGAAUCAUAUCCAGGUGAAGCAAGUAUGUCACAAAAAGACUGUGUCAACAUUAAAUGUUUAACUACCCAAGAAGAUUUUGUUUUUAUGUUCUACCAAAUUAUUUUCAAAAUAAAAAUUCAUUUCAAAUGAAAUAAUAGGAUUCAAUUUAUUUUGUAAAUAAGACUAGAAAAUGCUUAAAUUAGGGAAAUACUAUUGUAUACAUCACACUAAAGACUAUUUAAGGAUAAAAAAUUUUACACAAGCAAAAGUGAUUAGUCAGUUUUUAAAGAUCAUAUUCAUGCUUCUGUUGCAAAUAUUAAUUACUGGCUCUAAUUGAGCAUAUCAGUAAUCUAUGAUGUACUUACAAAUUGUAUAUACCUUUGAUUACAUAACAGGGUAAAUUACAAGAAUAAAUUAUGUUUUUUAUUUUAUUAAGUAACAUCAUUAUUUUUGCAAAUUUCCUUUUCUAAAGGAAGACCUAUAUAUUAUCUCCAUGAGCAUAAAAGUGUGUUUUGCAUGAGUGGCUGGUUCACUUGAACCAAAAAAGAAUAGUUAAUAGCAUGUUUGGUGAGUGGAACACAAGUGUGCAAACAUAGAUGAAAAGCUCCUUAAGUCCCUCAGGACAGUGUGAAUGUGCAAAUGCAGUCAGAGAGAUCCCUAAGGAAGGGGGGAAUCCCAGAGGAAUGACCGUGAAGGUUAGUGGUUCGACUGCCUUCUCAUGAAUGGGGAGACUUUCUCUUCUGCCAAAUUUGGAGGACUUGGAUUUCAAUGUUUUAAGGAAGAUCACAGCUUUUUAGGCACAUUGUGCAUAUCGCAUAUGCUUCAUUUGACAGUCUCAAUACUGGAUUUCAGAUUCUGCUUGUUACAUACAAAUGUACAAUAUUACUUAUAUUUAAAUGAUAAUAAAUGAAACUGAUUUUUUAAAGAAAUUGGUGGAUAAUUUUCAUGAAGCCACCCAACAAUAUCAGAGUCUGGAGACCAAACUGAGGUGCAGCAAACAGGCAGAAGGACAUGUCUUUGGUUCUUUUCUCUUUGAAAAGGCUCAUCACUCAACCAGGAGGUAAAAUAAAGAUAACCCAACACAGCAACAGCCAUAGAAGUCUCCUUCACAGCCUCACAAAUAAAGCACAGGACAGAUCUUUUUUUUUUAACUUUUUUUUUUUUUGGUAUGCUGACUUUGCCACAAUAAAUUUUUAAAAAUUACUUGUCCACCCUAGAAAUGAACCACAUGUCAGCAAGUGGUUUUCUGUUGAUGAAAAGCACCUGAAGAAUCCAGGAAGGAAAGGGAAACAUUUCUUUGUUUUGUUAUUGGGAAGGGAUGGAUUUGGUAAAGUAUGACAUAGUUCUAGCACUGUUUCGUCCAGAAGGUUGAAUUAAAUAUAUUAAUCUACAUUUUCAAGUAACAAUAGAACAGGUGAUCUUUUUCAGAAAAUCUAUGCACUCAAAAAAUGUUUUGUAUUUAGUUCUGUCUUAGAAUGUCUAUUGCUAUUAUAAAACUAAAAUGAAGAUAUAUGUCAUUUAAAAUGUUCAAGGGUUAGAUAUGAAAUUUGUGGUUGAUUCAAGUGCUCAGGUUUCUGAUUUCACUCUUUCUGGCUACUCUACUCAGUGCCUAAUUCACUGCUGAUCAGCAAUUCUUCCUUGGGUGAGAUGUCAAAUAAAAAGUGAUAAAAUCCACACAAAUUAAUUCUUAGCUCUAAGCAAUGUUAAGAGCUCAUUGGGAACAAAGGUUGAAUGUGCUCUUUAAAGUAAAAUUUUGAAUUAUCUGUAGAUCCCAAUUUUCCAUUCCCUGUUGUUGUGGACAAUUAAGAGUUGUAUUUACACUUAAACUGUAUUUGUUAGAAAAAUUCCUUUUAAAGUAAGAAAAAGAGGCUAAAAACAUAAGCCUAAUUUUUUUAGUGCUUAACUAAUCGAACGUGAAUGACACUCCCAGUUCAUGUUAUGCCAGGAAAUAUAAGUUCCUCAUUUUGUCAGUUACAAAGUGGGUUUUUGAAAGUUCUCAUCUACCAACUGAAGAAUGCAGAGACAUGCUAUAAAUUACCACACUUCUUGAGAAAUGGAACAGAAUUUAUAAAACGAUCUUAUAACAAAAUAAAUAAUAUAAACACAUCACAGAUAUGGGAGAGAACAGUACAAUUACCCUCCCCUACCCAGAUGGAACUAUAGAACUCUUCAAACCUAGUGUAGAUCUACCAUAGAGUAGGCUUACUUGCUACAUAUUUAAAUAUUCUGCUCUCUCUGGCCCUUAACUGAGUGAUGAAGAUCUUGUGCAGGUAGCCAGAGAAGUUCAUUAAGUUACCCCAGGAGAGAAGGGUACAGUUCCUGUGAAUGUGUGGUGCCAUUUUUCCAAGUUGUACUGAAACUAUGAUACAACAGCUGAAUGCCAGUUAUUCCUAGAUCACCUCACCCUUUUCCAAUCAACGAGGUUUUCUCUCAGGACCAUCAUGAUAGGGCUAUGUUUUUUGGCACCAACUUGCAAUAUAAAAGAACUUACGAAUAGAAUGUGAAUGUGUAUUUUGAAGGUUGUUAAAUUUUGCUUCAUUGCUUUCCAAUUCAUUUAUUUACAAAACUGGAAAAAUAUGAUUAAUUUUUCAAAGGAUUUUUUAAAUAAAGGCUUUAGAAUUUCUCAACUUUGAAAUCUCAAUUACAGAAUGCUAUUUUCAUGCAAAUGAGAGAAGCAUACAUACUGCAGUUUUCUUCUAGGUUUAAAGUCUUGGUGUUUAGAAUUAUAUAAAAAUAGUGCUUGCAUAAAAAUUACACUUGUUUAUGACACAGGAUACAAAAUGGUAGCACAGUUUGACAAAGAAAAUUCAGAUAAGAAUGUGACUGCCUGGGAAAGGAAAAAAAAUUAAGUUGAUAAGGGCAAUGAAAAUAAUUAUAGUAUAAGUGGGAGCUGAACAAUGACAACACAUGGACACAGGGAGGGGAAUAACACAUACCAGGGCCUGUUGGGGGUUGCGGGGAGAGGGGAGGAAACUUAGAGGAUGGGUCAAUAGGUGCAGGAAAUCACCAUGGCACACAUAUACCUAUGUAAUGAACCUGCAUGUUCUGCACAUGUAUCCUGGGACUUAAAGUAAAAAAAAAAAAAAGAAAGAAAGAAAAUAAUGAUAGUGGUGGCUCAAACCUGUAAUUCCCACACUUUGGGAGGCUGAAGCUGGCAGAUGACUUGAGCUCAGGAGUUUGAGACCAGCCUGGGCAACAUGGCGAAAGCCUGUCUCUACAAAAAAUACACAAAUUAGCCGGGCAUGGUGGCCCAUGCUUGUAGUCCCAGCUACUUGGGAGGCUGAGGUGGGAGGAUCUAUUGAGACCAGGAGGCAGAGGUUGCAGUGAUCCAAGAGCACACCACUGCACUCCAGCCUGGGUGACAGAGUGAGACCCUGUCCCCAAAAUAAUAAUAAUAAUAAUGAUAGCAACACCUUCCAUUAUCUACUAUUUGUGGACUUUCAAGCACAUUCUAGGUGCUGUGGUACUGUUCUCCAUUCAAGGAAUUUACACGGUAGUAGGUAAGACAAAUAGUACCAAUAUGGCAAGAUACAGGCUUAAAGAGACGUUAUCGAAGUGCACUGCAGGGAUAGGAACACUAAGCUGGAAAACACCUACUUUCUGAGAUGAAGCAAAGGUUGGCAAUGCUUUAUAGAGAAGCUGAUCUGAGAAUAAUGGGCGUUUACGGGAUGUAUAAGCAGGGAAAAGCAUUCUAACUGGAGAGGCUGGCUAUGGAAAGUACAGAGGAUUAAAAAGACAUGGACUUUAUGAGAAAAUCAAGCAGGUAAAAAGAACGAGUGGCAGAGCUGAUUUCAUAAAAAUAUGCAAGGGUAGAGUAGAAAAAGCUAUGAAAUAUUUAUUUUUGCUUGUAACUUAGGGGAAAUCAAUCAUUGAUGUAUGAGCAAGAAAAUAGCAUGAAGAGAAACAGUUUCCAGCUGUUAUAGAAAGAGGAUUUGCAGAAGCAUUGAUCAAACAGGUUCCCUGAGACAGAAUAUGGUCUCACCCAGGUUCUCUAAUACUGUUUGAGAAAUAAAGAUAUCCUUGGUCCCCAAAUGAUAGCAGGACAGGAGAACUAGGAAAGCAUGCAGAGUUUCUGCAGACAGGUUCUGGUACCAUCAAUGGUGCCUAGAAGUGGUAGGAGAAUGCAAGAAGGAAAUUAUCCUCUAGUGAGCAUUCAAUACAUUACAGCAAAUAUUUUUUAAUACACAUGAUCUUAUUUAGUCUUCACAACAAUCCUAUGAAAUAUGAAUUAUUAUUUCAAAGUAAAACAUAGUUAAACUAAGUUCCAGAGAGGUGAACUUAUCCAGUAUUACACCACUGAUAGAGGUGGUGGUAUGUCCCUACAAUGGGAUCUAAAACCCUGCCUGUCUGUCUGGUAUCACAACUUACACUCUUUCUGUAGAAUCUCCUGUCUCAAGUGGUACCUCUGUCAUUGGGUAUAUAGCAGCAAGACAACCAUUUUGCUUUCAGGGAGAAGGCUUUGUGACAUGAUUCUAAGUUAAUUCCUCUAUGGUUUUAUGGGAAAGUGAUGGUAGCGUUAGAAGACAGGCGAGUGCGACUCUGAGACUAAAAUGGGUCAAUUUUUAAAGGAAGCCAUGGUACUAAUGAAAACAGCAUAAAUCCCAGAAAUAUUUUGUAUGAUGAAUUGAGAAGAUAUAGUGACCAAUUGGAUAUAUGAAAUGAAGGAGAGCCAGGCAUUAAGGAAUGACUCUUCUGGCAUGAGAGACUGGAGAAAGAACCAUCAAACAACAUACAGAAUAUAGAAGGGGAAACAAGCACCAGGUAAAUAUGACAUGAAAGCAAUAGUACAUAUUUUAGUGAUUAUUAGACUUAGGAGAGAGAAGUCAGGGAUUUUACAACCACACAUUUCAUAUAUUUGUGGUAAUUAAUAUAUUUCAGGCUCAGGCAAACUACAAUAUAAAGGGCUAUAAAACUCAUUAUCGGUAAGGUCAGGACAGCUCUGAGGACGAUUAUUUGGGAUCAUUUAAAUAUAUCAUACACAACUGUGAGUUCUGAAACAGACACUACUCUUGUGAUGGGAGAGAUGCAAAUCAUACUUGAGAGUCCAUUUAUUAUAGCUGUUGUCUGAAAAGUUGUUAAGGCAAAUAAGACAUUACAAAGAGUAGGAAAACAGAUUUAUUGCUAUGACAUAUUUUUAUGUGCUUUGACCAUUGCACAAUUUGAAAUAAUUGGCAUAAUAAUACUUCUUAUAAUCACUAUUAUCAAGUCUGAAUAUCAUUUUUAGCUAUGGGAAGAAAGACACAAAAUCUGUUCGUCAGUGUAAAAAUUCAGAAGCUAGAGAGGGGUGGCUGGAAAAAUGAAAAAUUCAAAAUGGAAACAAAAACAUUUUCUUUUGCCUUGUUUUGGGAGCUUUCAUACUUAUAGAAUUAUCUUGAGUUGAAAACAGAAUUUUAUUAUUUAUUUGAAUUAAUUUGGUAAUUUUUGACUCUUUGAAGUCAAAAGUAAUUCCAAGAAUGUAUUUCGUAAAGAAAUAAUGUGCUUAUGAAAGCACACCUAUACACAUGUCCCAGUCCAGGACACUGAUGGUUAUGUGCAGCUGUCAAUCUCAUUCCCAUCAAUUCUAGGUCUGUUUCAUUCAGGGAUUCAUAUUAUGGGUAUCAAUUCAUUCUUUCAUUCACAAGGUUUAUUGAGUGCUUACAGUAAUUGUGCUAGGCACUAUUCCAGUCCACUAUACUGACUUGAGAAUAAAACGGAAAAAAAUGUUUUCCUAAUAGAGAGAGAAACAUAAAUUAACAGAGAAAUAGAAUUUAUAGGAGGGAUAAUGCACUAUGAAGAGUGAUAAGUAAAAAGGCCUGUUUUACAUAAACAAGCUUGAAAUACUGGCCAGGGAUCCAAUCAUGUCGCAUUUUAAAGGGCAUCAUUAGGGAUAUGUAUUGGAGUAGGAUGCAUAGGACUUGCUGAUGGGUUGGACAAAGGUAAGACCCCCACAUUUUUGGUCUAAGCAACCAAGGGUAUAGUAGGACUAUAAUAGGAAAGACUUGUGGAGGAACAAGUUUAGAUGGAACAUCAAAAAGUUAAUUUAGUACAUAUCUAUUUUGAAUCAUUGAGUAGACAUACAGGGAGAGAUUUAUAGCUCUUUGAUAUCUAAGUAAGAAAUCAUAGGGGAUUCAGGGCUGGGAUAAAGAUCUGGGAGACUUCUGCAUAUGUUAGCUUUUUUUUUUUUUUAGGCGGAGUCUCACCCUGUCGCCAGGCUGGUGCGAUCUUGGCUCACUGCAAACUCCGCCUCCCGGGUUCAAGCGAUUCUCCUGCCUCAGCCUCCCGAGUAGCUGGGACUACAGGCGCGCCACCAUGCCCAGCUAAUUUUUGUAUUUUUAGUAGAGACAGGGUUUCACCAUGUUAGCCAGGAUGGUCUCCAUCUCUUGAACUCGUGAUCCGCCCGCAUCGGCCUCCCAAAAGUGCUGAAGUUACAGGCGUGAACCACUGUGCCUGGCCUGUUUUUGUUUUUUUUAAAGCCUGUAAUCCCAGCACUUUGGGAGGCUGAGGAGGAUGGAUCACUAGAGCUCAGGAGUUCAAGACCAGCCUUGGCCGGGCAUGGUGGUGCACGCCUGAUGCCUGUAGUCCCAGCUACUAGGGAGGCUGAGGUGGGAGGAUCACUUGAUCCUGGGAGGUGGAAGCUGCAAUGAGCUGUGACUGUGCCACUGCAGCCCAGCCUGGGUAAAAGCAUGAGACCGUGUCUCAAAAAAAAAAAAAAAAUAUGGGACCAGUUGAGAAAACCUGAGUGGAGAUAUGGAUAAAGAAGGGAAGAGAGCUGAAGAUGUAUUCCUAAAGUGUUCCAACAUCUAGAGGUCUUGAAAAGGAAGAUGAACUACGAAGUAGACUUUGCAGGGGCAAGAGCAUCUUGAAUCAGUAACUGUUGAUAUUCUCCAUCAUAACUGAGAAUCAGUAUACUUGGAAAAUAAAAACUUUUAAAAAAUAAUACUAAGGAGAAUGGGUACCAUUGAGAUUUUCAAAAUCUAAUGUAUAGAAUUAUAAAUUAAUAUAAACUGUUACAAAAUUUGCAAUAGACAGUACAUUCCUGCCAUCCAUUUAAUUAAAAAAUCAUUUAUUAAAUAUAUACUUUUAGCUUUGUGACAGUAGCUUACAUGAUAUAUGUCAUGCUGUCUCUUAAAAAUAUUAAAAUCCAUAUAUAUGACAAGUGACUAUCCUAUGGUUGCAUUAAUCUUCUAAAUAAUAAUGUGCAUUUAUAUAAAACUUAAAAUUUUACAAAACAUUCUUUGACUAACUCAGACAACUGUGUAAGAUUGGGAAGGUAAAUAUUAUUGUCACCAUUUUCCUAGCAAGCACUCUGGAUUCAGAGAGGCUAAUUGAUAUGAAUAAUAUUAUCCGGCUAGGAGCCAGCAGAUCAGUGACCUGAAUAAAGAUAUUAGGGCACUUAAUCCAUUGCUGUUCCCAAGAGUAACAUUUAUUAUGUUGUUUCAUUUCUUAUGUACACAUAUAAUCAGAGGCAACACGUAUGGCUUGUGCAGGUUGUGUAUCACAUGGAUAAGCUAUGAAUGGUCCCCUCAGACUGGGCUGGGCAAUAAGCAACCUGAGCAAAAUAAGCAGUAGCUGUUCUUAAAAAUCAUACUUUGCCUCAAAUAAACUCUGAAACAUGGAGAUGUAAGAGUUAAAACUAGUCUGUUAUCCCACUGAGGAUAGUUAUCACCCUGCCAAAUUAUAUAAAAGAAAACAUUAAAUUUUCCAAAUCAUUAUUAUAAUUGAGAAGAUGGUUAAAUAUAAAAUCUGCAGGUUUUUAUCUGAUUUAGUAUUUAAUGUCUACCUUUCACUUUCUAUAAGCAUUUUUCUUAAUUUAUUUUUUCUUUGAUUUAUGUUCACUCACCCAAAUGUUCUCUUAACACCAUCUCCAAGUCUCCACCCUAUUUUCCUCCAAUAGGCUCCUGGACCCAUCCUUCCUUUCACCUUGAAACACUAUUGGCCAUUAGUGAACCAAUGAUCAGUGGCUCUGGCCUUUCCUGGAAGCAGGAGUCAUAUGGACUUUCAUCCCUCCAGUGUCCAUUUUGCAUUACGUUCUUUGAUUUACCACAUUUUUUUUUUCACUAAUUGUCAAUUUAUUUUUCUUCAUGGUUUAAAGCUGGGAAUGCUUACCAUACUGUGGUAGAUUGAAUUGUGGGUUUUCAUCACCAUUUCGUCUCCUCAUGUUCCUGUUCUUUUGAGAAGUUCAUGAAAGUUUCACAGUCCAAUUCAUUCUCUCCCAAACUCCUCCUUAAAAAAGCAAAGAAUAAAACAAAUCAUUUCUUGUCUCUUCUCCUGAAAUUUUCCCAGCCGUAAUAUACCCUGGCUGAUCUGCUCAAACAAUUGUUACCUUUCUUUCCCCCUCUCUGACCACUAACCACUUUUGAAAUAAAAUAUCCGGUUUAGAAGUCAAUAAAAGAAAAAACGUCUUUUUUGGGGGGAGAUGAAGAUCAGCUGUAAUAGUUGCAUUAUAAAAUGCAUACUAAAGGGGAAUAUUUGGCUUAUUCCUUUUGUAAUUAACGUUUAUUACUAUCUACUAGAUAUUUGAUUAGAGAAUAAAUUAGAUAAUUGGAAUUAAACUUAACUAUGACAUUUGGGACAGUGGUUUCGCUGACAAGCUCCUUAUGACACUAUCAUCCCUGACACCAGGGAGCAUGAACAGUGUUAUCAAAUAACUAAAAAGUCAAUCCCUAAUAUUUUGGGAUUUGAGGGAUGAUGGAAAUAUAUCUAGAAAGUAAGGGACAUCACAAUAUCAACAUCACGAACAUUUUAAUAUAAAAUAAGCUAAUGGCAUGCUACUUUCUAUGUUUUGUGGGAUUAAAAGUAGGGUAUCAUAAGGUGAAGACUGGAUGUAUAAGAUAGGCUCAGUUUCUCAUGAGAAGACAAAAACAAAAGCAAACAGAUGAUGCUGGCCUUUUCUAUUUCAUAGAGUAGAUAUGAGUACCAAUGCAGAUAAGGUACUUGGAAGUACUUUGGAAAAUAAAAGAUUCAUACAAAAAUAUAACUUAUGGGUUUCUGAAAUUCUUUACAGGGGCUUUCAAUUAAAAAACAGUGCAGAAAAACUUAUGGAUCUUAGAAUCUAAACAACGUAUUUAAUUUAAUUUGAACAAUCUCUGUGCACCAAAAAUAAACAUCAUUCAUUAUUUAGUAUUUUUAGGUAGAAGUAAAAUCUUGAAUAAAGCACAACUGGUAUGAAAUAUCAAAUAUUACCAAAGGGUUGGUUUAUUCAUUGGCAAUUCUAUUAUUUGUUGUCCAAAUCAGUGAGAAAAUCAAUUAUUACCUUCAGUUGAAAGAUAGUUGAUUUGACAUAUUCAAGAAUACUUACUGACUGACUUUUGAUUUAGUCAUAUUUAGUACCACUCAAGAUAAAUUUUAAUUU
rnacentral:lncRNA from 1 species